rnacentral:rRNA from 2 species
UGCGAACGGCUCAUUAAAUCAGUUAUCGUUUAUUUGAUAGUACCUUUACCUACUUGGAUAACCGUGGUAAUUCUAGAGCUAAUACAUGCUAAAAGUCCCGACCUCUGGAAGGGACGUAUUUAUUAGAUAAAAAACCAAUGCCCUUCUGGGCUUCUUGGUGAUUCAUGAUAACUUUACGAAUCGCAUGGCCUUGUGCCGGCGAUGGUUCAUUCAAAUUUCUGCCCUAUCAACUUUCGAUGGUAGGAUAGUGGCCUACCAUGGUUUCAACGGGUAACGGGGAAUUAGGGUUCGAUUCCGGAGAGGGAGCCUGAGAAACGGCUACCACAUCCAAGGAAGGCAGCAGGCGCGCAAAUUACCCAAUCCCGACACGGGGAGGUAGUGACAAGAAAUACUGAUACAGGGCCCAUCUGGGUCUUGUAAUUGGAAUGAGUACAAUUUAAAGCCUUUAACGAGGAACAAUUGGAGGGCAAGUCUGGUGCCAGCAGCCGCGGUAAUUCCAGCUCCAAUAGCGUAUAUUAAAGUUGUUGCAGUUAAAAAGCUCGUAGUUGAACUUUGGGUCUGGGUGACCGGUCCCCCGACUGGGUGUGCACUGGAAACCCGGAUCUUUCCUUCUGGAGAACCUCAUGCCCUUCACUGGGUGUGUUGGGGAACUAGGACUUUUACUUUGAAAAAAUUAGAGUGUUCAAAGCAGGCUUUUGCUCGAAUACAUUAGCAUGGAAUAAUAAAAUAGGACGUGCGGUUCUAUUUUGUUGGUUUCUAGGACCGCCGUAAUGAUUAAUAGGGAUAGUCGGGGGCAUCCGUAUUCGAUUGUCAGAGGUGAAAUUCUUGGAUUUUUCGAAGACGAACUACUGCGAAAGCAUUUGCCAAGGAUGUUUUCAUUAAUCAGGAACGAAAGUUGAGGGAUCGAAGACGAUCAGAUACCGUCGUAGUCUCAACCAUAAACUAUGCCGACUAGGAAUCGGGCGAUGUUUUCAAUUUGACUCGCUCGGCACCUUACGAGAAAUCAAAGUUUUUGGGUUCUGGGGGGAGUAUGGUCGCAAGGCUGAAACUUAAAGGAAUUGACGGAAGGGCACCACCAGGAGUGGAGCCUGCGGCUUAAUUUGACUCAACACGGGGAAACUCACCAGGUCCAGACACAUUAAGGAUUGACAGAUUGAGAGCUCUUUCUUGAUUAUGUGGGUGGUGGUGCAUGGCCGUUCUUAGUUGGUGGAGUGAUUUGUCUGCUUAAUUGCGAUAACGAACGAGACCUUAACCUGCUAAAUAGCCGGGCUCGCUUUUGCGAGAUUCUGGC